CAACUCUUAGUAAGUUGAGAAACACACUGUAGUUAGGUUAUAAUGCAUUGAAUGCAUAAACACGCCCUCAAUUAGCACUAGUCUUGGACUACCUAACGUGAAGGUGAGAAUUAAUUUAUGUAUGCUGGAUUCGACUUAAAACUUGUUUGCAAAGCAAUCCCCAGCUGACCGUUUACACCCAUGUUGCAUCACGUCACUGCGUUAGCGGCGAGCACAUCCAUACUGUGAUACAACAGAAAAGCAAGGAUGCCUGCAGUGCUGGCAUCUUGUCACUUCACCCACCGAACCCCUGCAGCAGCUGUGCUGAGCUCCUGAACCCCAACACCUGUCAAAUAAACUGCUUUGCAAUAAAUGACUUCACUCAGUAUGUCACAGGCAUUUUCCAUCAUAGUAAGAAAACUUUGGUCCCAUCGGCAGCAGUGGUACAUUGGGCAAAUCAACCUGCUAAAUAAACUGCUGAAUAGCAAUUGAGGAAGACAAUGCUUACAACUGGUCAGGGUCCUGAACCAAUUUAUAUUACAAAUACUGUAGUCACUUAAAUAAGCAACUUGUUUUUAUUUUUCUGUGCUUACUCUCCACAUGCAUGGUAUUAAACUAUUUGAUAA